UGGGGAAUAUUGCACAAUGGGCGCAAGCCUGAUGCAGCGACGCCGCGUGAGGGAUGACGGCCUUCGGGUUGUAAACCUCUUUCAGCAGGGAAGAAGCGCAAGUGACGGUACCUGCAGAAGAAGCGCCGGCUAACUACGUGCCAGCAGCCGCGGUAAUACGUAGGGCGCAAGCGUUGUCCGGAAUUAUUGGGCGUAAAGAGCUCGUAGGCGGUUUGUCGCGUCUGCUGUGAAAACGCGAGGCUCAACCUCGCGCCUGCAGUGGGUACGGGCAGACUUGAGUGCGGUAGGGGAGACUGGAAUUCCUGGUGUAGCGGUGGAAUGCGCAGAUAUCAGGAGGAACACCGGCGGCGAAGGCGGGUCUCUGGGCCGUAACUGACGCUGAGGAGCGAAAGCAUGGGGAGCGAACA
rnacentral:rRNA from 1 species